GUGAAAUUAUAAUAAAUCUUUAAUUGAAAAAUAAACACAUUAUUUAUUUUUAAUCAAUCUCAGAUUUGUAGCAACUGAUAAAACACAGUCAAAUAUUUCCUUCUGUUUAUGUAUUACAAAUUUUGUCACAUCAAUAUUUUUUUUAUUCUUCAUUAUAUAUUUCAUAUUUUUACAAUUCAUUUUGAUGCCUAUAUCAAUCCAGUGCCUGAGGCAGUUGCUUGCUACUUCAUCUAUAGAACUAACUGAACUGUAAACAAGUGAUAAAGGACAUGAGUAGGAAAUGGGAUAACAGAUACAGAUACAUGGAAAUUAGAAGAGACAUUUUAUGAUGGAGUGAGGUUAGUCAAUUAGGAGUCAUCAAUGUGGGUAGUCAAUAGUGAAAGGACUGUAUGCUUGAAAGACAAAUAAAGUACACUAUAUAUAUAUCAUAUUUCAUAGUGAGUAAUUAUUAUAAUUAAUGCUUCAAUAAUUAAUAUCCAAACAGGAAAGAGAGAAACACUGAGAUGGCAACCGAUAUUCAAGAAAUGAUUGAGAAGAAAAUGAAGCAUUUAAUGAAUGGAACACAUACAUUUUUUAAUUCGAACAAAUGUGUCAAAUGAGGGGACUCAGAAGUGACAGAAGAAAUACAGUAGCAGUAAGGAGGACUCUCCUACUAACAUAUAUAGGGUUAGAACUAUUAUCUGCAAUCUGAAAUAACUUUUAUUCCUGCAAUAUGAAUAUGAAGGAAUAUAAUGAAAUUAAAGCAAUUUUCCAGAAGUUACAUAAAAUAAUAUUAACAAUUUUUGCUACACAAUUCUCAAGUUGACUUCAACAGCUGAGUAGUGCUUACAGUUAUGGAAUGAAUCUGAGUGAAAGAUUGAGAGAUCAAUUUGCAGUAGAAAUAAAUUAUCCUAAAUUUAAAAUAGAGAUGCAGCAAUGGUGGCCAAAUUGAAAAGAUACAGUGGACAAUCUGGUUAGUUUAACAAAGUAUUUGACCUAAGAAAAAGUCAUUAUAUGAAAAGCAGAACAAGAUGAAAGACAGGAGAAAGAAGAAAUUAUCAGGCCAUCCAACAGUUGAAGUAUUUGCAAUUAAUAACACAAUGAUAGAGGAAGAAUGCAAACACUGUGGUAGGAAAAGCAUAGUGAUGAGAAAGAAUGUUGAGCCAGAAAUGCUAAAUGUAAUCAAUACAGCCAGUAUAGACAUUAUGAAAGGAAAUUCUAAAGAAAGAAGGGAAUAAUAAAUAGGGCCAAAUAAAAUUAGUGAGAUUAAUCAAAGUAGGUACAAAAGAUAAUGACACAGAAUAAUCAAUAAGCAAGGAAGGAGAUGACAAAGUAAAUCUUAUAAACUAUAUUAAAAAAUGUAAACACUUAACAGUUGAAGUGAAAAUAAAUAACCACAUUAUGACAAUGGAUUUCAAUAUAGAGUAUUUUGAAUGGUGAUGGGAAAAAAAACUGGAAAAAGAUGGGAAAGUCAAAAUUAAAGUCAACAGAAAAUUUAGUAGGAUAUAAUGAAAAAUUUCUAAUGAUGCUAGGAGAAGAAAGAGCAAUAGUGACAUAUAGAGUGCAGACAAAAAAUUUGAAAUUCACCAUAGUAAAAGAAAAUGAUGUGCUUUUAUUUGAUUUACCAUGGAUCAAAGCAUUUGGGAUGAAACUCCCACCAGGAGUGCAUAUGGUAAAACAACAGACUUCAAAAUAUAGAGAAGAGAAUAGGGAAAAUCUGAGAGAUAUAAAAGAACUAGUACAUGAAUUAACUAAAAUACAGAUGUCUACAAAUUAUCAGAAUGGUUUCAAGAUUUUACUGUAGGUAUAUUGACAUGUGAUCAUAAAACUUUGCAAUUAC
rnacentral:lncRNA from 1 species